rnacentral:rRNA from 1 species
UACGGAGGGGGCUAGCGUUGUUCGGAAUUACUGGGCGUAGAGCGCACGUAGGCGGCUUUGUAAGUUAGAGGUGAAAGCCCAGGGCUUAACCCUGGAAUUGCCUUUAAGACUGCAUCGCUAGAAUCGUGGAGAGGUGAGUGGAAUUCCGAGUGUAGAGGUGAAAUUCGUAGAUAUUCGGAAGAACACCAGUGGCGAAGGCGACUUACUGGACACAUAUUGACGCUGAGGUGCGAAAGCGUGGGGAGCAAACAGG